rnacentral:lncRNA from 1 species
UCCUUCUCCCUCCCUGCCAGUAGUUGCCUUAGUGACAAAACUAAUCGCUGCUGGUGCCCCUGCUCCUGUGAACAGGAGAAAAACAAAACCAUUUUUAUUGCUGUUCCAGCAAUCCUCUGCAAGUCCAACCUCAAGACGAAAUGUGCUGAUUAAAAGAUACGCUGCAGGUACUGGAGGAACACAAUGAAAAGGCAGAGUGCAGUGAAUGAAUCUUGUCUCUCAGCAGUGCUAUUUGAAGAACUUCUUGAAGCCAGUGGUGGAGCAUAACUGGGCUACUUGAAAGGAACUACCACUAAGAUGCAGGUUUUUGGGACACCCAGGAAAGAAAAAAUGAAAGUGAAUAAUAGGAAAAAUAAAAAAUAAAAAGUCAGACUUGGAGAUUUCUGCUCUUUCCACUGAACUUCUCUUUGCAUGAGUCAGAGGAAGGUGUGAAAUUAUAAGAAGAUCACCCUGUGAAGAUCUAUGAAAAUCUAGUCAGAUAAUCAACUGAGACUGAAGAAUGAUUCUUCUCAACCUGAAGUGCACAUCUAAAAUAGAUCAGACAGUCAAACCUCAGAAUUGCUGGCUGUUAAGUGAGGUCAGCACGACUAGCUUUGUAGCAGAAGUUCACUACAGAUGUCUAAAGCCAGAUGAGAAGUAUCACCUCAUUAAUCAAUUCAAGCACAGUAUGAAUGUAGUAAAGGACCAGCACACCAGCAAAGGCAGCUAUACAAAAGCUCUUCUGUGUGUUGAUAGGCAGUAGAGGUGCCAGUGAUAAAUUGGGCUGCACGUGGAACAAGAUUAAAAGUAUUAAGUUGGAGUGCAUUGCCUUGUACAUGAAUUUACUGAGUAGCUUCAAAGGGAAUGUAUGUUCAGUUAUGAUGGUUUGAGGGGAAAAAAAUUUUGUCAUUUUGUAUUGUCACAAAGGAAGACAUUCUACGUAAGUGCUAGAAGAUAAGGGAAAUCAUGGAAAACCUGAAGGAUUCAGAAAGACUUGGAUUGUUAGCAUUUGGAAGGAGACAAAGAAAUAUAGCAAUAAAAGCUGGGUUCACUGUGGUUGUAUGCUUGUUUUGUCACAGAUGUUCAGGGCACAAACUACCCUAACAAUGGCAUCCCUAAACUUGGUGUCCAGAUCUGAGAUAGUCACCUUGGGCUGCAAUAGAAGGGAAAAUGAUUAUUCUAUACUUACCAUUAGCAAGUGAUAUUCUUCCAUGUCUUGGAAAGCAGGGUCUCAAUGGACAUAGCAGCCAUUUGGGAGGACAGACAAGUUGAAAAGUGGUACAGGGGGUCUGCUUCUCCUCUCACUGUAGAAAUGAGCUAUGGACCUCACUGUUGCAUCAAUUGACUGACACUGCUCCAAGAUGAGUAAGAUUCAAAGAGAAACAGUGAUUACAUGGCUGAAAAGAAUAUCCAGAUAUAGCACAAAAGAUAAAAUUACACAGGAAGGCUAUAAAAUCUUCAGAUUUGAAAAGAUCAAGAUAUCCUUUAUUUUUUGUUGCUCAGAAGAGAUAAUCUGGGUUACAGACUGUAACGUCUGCUUAUUACAAACCAUUUUACACUUUUCGCCAGUCAAUGUUCUUUCUCAGGAAAGAAGUCCCUAGGCUAUUUCUCUGAUCCUAUAUGGACAUUUUUAUGUUGCUAGAGAAGAUGGAAGUCUCCAUUUGUGUUUAACAUGGGAUUUCCUCUUCUAGAUGGAAAUCAUCCAGUCUCAUUGAUUAAGUGCAAUUUCCACACACUUCAGUACAGCUCUGCAGGAUUUAAUGACUGCACCCAGCUGAGCAAUAUUCUCUGGAUUUGAUUCACUAUACAUAUUAAUUUUAGAGCCUGUCUCAAAUAACCUUCAUUGAUUUCUUCAUCAUAUAUACAAGUCUAACCUUGUUUGACUGGUUGCUUGAAAUGCAGUGCCAUUAUUCAGUGGAACAGGAAUUAAGACAGGCUGAUGUGGCUGAACAGAAUUAACGGUUUAAAAAAGUUGUCUGUCUGUGCUGAUGCAUUUGAGAAGAAAAGUGAUGGGGAUUCUGAGCACAGCGAGACCUGCAAGGUGCUUUGUAAAGCAAGUUACUUUCAAGAGAGAAAAAAAAAAACCAAAAACUGUCUGAAUGGUACAUUAGGCAUGAUCUGAUAAUAACCCCAAAAAUGUCUAGAAUGGAUACAAAUUGCAAAUCCACAGCUGUGACAAUGCAACUAUGGAUUUCUGGCCUCAUAGAUUUAGAGGAGCAAUAACUGCCAUUGCCAAACUAGUUAAAAGCAACGGCUGAAAGCGUGUAAGUUAGACUAGCUGGAAAGUAAAUGUUUGGAAAAUGCUUUGAGAUUUCAUGUCAUUUCCUUGGGAUAGAACACUCUGAGGCAUCAGUAACUUCAUUUUCCAUUGUGGUGAACUUCAGAGCAAAAGAUUUAAAGACAAUCUCUAUAUGCUUUCUCCCAGAAAACUAUAAGCUUAAUGACCCGUUUUAUUAAAAGCUGAAUUCCAGG